ensembl:lncRNA novel transcript
CUCAGACCUUAGCAGGCAGGCACACAAGCUGCUGGACCUGCAGAGGAGCCUAUCUGCAAACCCAGACAUCUGGACGUGGAGAGGAGCGAAUUGGUGGAGGAACACACAGGUGGCUGGAUGUUAAGAGAAGCACAUCAGCAGGCCCUGGGAUGCGGGCAGGCCACGGACCAGCAGAAGGAGAGGCUGAGUUUGGCUGGGACAGUCAGAGGAGAGCCCGGGCCAGGGAGCAGCCUGACUCCAAGGAAAAAACCAUCUCCCUUCUGGCUCCCCCGUAUGCUGAGAGCUACUUCCAGUCAAUAAAACUUUGAACUCAUUCUCCAAGACCACGUGUGAUCCGAUUCUUCCAGUACACCAAGAAAGAAGAAGAGGAGCAAGAAGAGGCUGAGAAGAAACAGAAGAUUUUGUGACAUGUGAACAUUGCAUGACAUCCAAAGUUCAGUGUCCAUAAAUAAAAUGUUAUUGGUAUA